GACGAACGCUGGCGGCGUGCUUAACACAUGCAAGUCGAACGGAAAGGCCCUGCUUUUGUGGGGUGCUCGAGUGGCGAACGGGUGAGUAACACGUGAGUAACCUGCCCUUGACUUUGGGAUAACUUCAGGAAACUGGGGCUAAUACCGGAUAGGAGCUCCUGCUGCAUGGUGGGGGUUGGAAAGUUUCGGCGGUUGGGGAUGGACUCGCGGCUUAUCAGCUUGUUGGUGGGGUAGUGGCUUACCAAGGCUUUGACGGGUAGCCGGCCUGAGAGGGUGACCGGCCACAUUGGGACUGAGAUACGGCCCAGACUCCUACGUGAGGCAGCAGUGGGGAAUAUUGCACAAUAGGCGGAAGCCUGAUGCGGCAGCGCCGCGUGCGGGAUGACGGCCUUCGGGUGGUAAACCGCUUUCGCCUGUGACGAAGCGUGAUUGACGGUAAUGGGUAAAGAAGCACCGGCUAACUACGUG
rnacentral:rRNA from 1 species